UGUGUGCUAAAUGUGUUCGUGACAGG
rnacentral:piRNA from 1 species